rnacentral:rRNA from 1 species
ACGGGUGAGUAAUACGUGAGUAACCUGCCCUUGACUCUGGGAUAAGCCUGGGAAACCGGGUCUAAUACUGGAUACGACUCCUCAUCGCAUGGUGGGGUGUGGAAAGGGUUUUACUGGUUUUGGAUGGGCUCACGGCCUAUCAGCUUGUUGGUGGGUAAUGGCCUACCAAGGCGACGACGGGUAGCCGGCCUGAGAGGGUGACCGGCCACACUGGGACUGAGACACGGCCCAGACUCCUACGGGAGGCAGCAGUGGGGAAUAUUGCACAAUGGGCGCAAGCCUGAUGCAGCGACGCCGCGUGAGGGAUGACGGCCUUCGGGUUGUAAACCUCUUUCAGCAGGGAAGAAGCCACAAGUGACGGUACCUGCAGAAGAAGCGCCGGCUAACUACGUGCCAGCAGCCGCGGUAAUACGUAGGGCGCAAGCGUUGUCCGGAAUUAUUGGGCGUAAAGAGCUCGUAGGCGGUUUGUCGCGUUUGCUGUGAAAGCCCGGGGCUCAACCCCGGGUCUGCAGUGGGUACGGGCAGACUAGAGUGCAGUAGGGGAGACUGGAAUUCCUGGUGUAGCGGUGAAAUGCGCAGAUAUCAGGAGGAACACCGAUGGCGAAGGCAGGUCUCUGGGCUGUUACUGACGCUGAGGAGCGAAAGCAUGGGGAGCGAACAGGAUUAGAUACCCUGGUAGUCCAUGCCGUAAACGUUGGGCACUAGGUGUGGGGGACAUUCCACGUUCUCCGCGCCGUAGCUAACGCAUUAAGUGCCCCGCCUGGAGAUCGCCCACUGCC